rnacentral:rRNA from 1 species
UACGUAGGGGGCAAGCGUUGUCCGGAUUUAUUGGGCGUAAAGAGCGCGUAGGCGGCCAGGUAGGUCGGUUGUGAAAACUGGAGGCUCAACCUUCAGAGGUCGACCGAAACCAUCUGGCUAGAGUCCGGGAGAGGAGAGUGGAAUUCCUGGUGUAGCGGUGAAAUGCGCAGAUAUCAGGAAGAACACCCGUGGCGAAAGCGGCUCUCUGGAACGGUACUGACGCUGAGACGCGAAAGCGUGGGGAGCGAACAGG